UUGCCUCAGUGAACGCGCGAGUGAAGCGGCAACAGCUCAAAUUUGAAAUCUGGCCUUCGGGUCCGAGUUGUAAUUUGUAGAGGAUGCUUAGGGUGUGGCUCCGGUCUAAGUUCCUUGGAACAGGACGUCAUAGAGGGUGAGAAUCCCGUAUGUGACUGGCAGCCUUCGCCCGUGUUAAGCUCCUUCGACGAGUCGAGUUGUUUGGGAAUGGCAGGCUCUAAAUGGGUGGUAAAUUUCAUCUAAAGCUAAAUAUUGGGCCAGAGACCGAUAGCGCACAAGUAGAGUGAUCGAAAGAUGAAAAAGCACUUUGGAAAGAGAGUUAAACAGUACGUGAAAUUUGUUGAAAGGGAAGCGCUUGCAAUCAGACUUGCGCGCAGGUAAUCAUCUGGGGGUUCUCCCCCAGUGCACUUGCCUGCGCUCAGGCCAGCAUCAGUUUUGGCGGCUGGAUAAAGGCCCUAGGAAUGUAGCUUCUCUCGGGGAGUGUUAUAGCCUGGGGUGCAAUGCAGCCUGCUGGGACUGAGGACCGCGCUUCGGCUAGGAUGCUGGCGUAAUGAUUGUAAGCGACCCGUCUUGAAACACGGACCAAGGAGUCUAACAUCUAUGCGAGUGUUUGGGUAUCAAACCCAUACGCGUAAUGAAAGUGAACGGAGGUGAGAACCCUUAAGGGUGCAUCAUCGACCGAUCCUGAUGUCUUCGGAUGGAUUUGAGUAAGAGCAUAGCUGUUGGGACCCGAAAGAUGGUGAACUAUGCGUGAUUAGGGUGAAGCCAGAGGAAACUCUGGUGGAGGCUCGUAGGGGGUUCUGACGUGCAAAUCGAUCUCAAAAAUUGCGUAUAGGGGGCGAAUACUCAGUCUUUCGCUCCCCCCGCAGGCCCUGCCACGGCAGGCUGACAUCUCUAGCAUGCUGGGAUUUUUUUAGCUAAAUACCAGCAGCCCUUUCCAGGGGUUUCACAGAUCAAAAUGGGAGAUGGGCUCCGGCACGCUGGAGUUAAGAAUAUGAUCGGAACGAAUUGUAACCAAUUCGUGCCUUAAUCGAAGACUAAUCGAACCAUCUAAUCCAACUACUGGAUGGGAUAUGACAUGACUUGUAGUCUGGUGCGCCAGGCAACACUACCACUGUGCGGGUAUGCCGAGAGGCUACCUGCAGCCCUGUCUCCGGGGUUCACAGACUAAACGGUAGUGGCCUCCGGGGUUCUGAUAUAGCCGAU
rnacentral:rRNA from 1 species